CAAUUUAUUAUUUUAAUGUUGUUUCCAAGCUUACUACUGCACCUCCCCAUUUCCCCAUUACACCAUAAAACUGAUUGAUUAAUACUGACUAUAUUUUAACAGAUUACCAAAAAUUACAAUUAUAUUAACGGCAGCCUAAUCAACGAUGUAACCAGUAAUUAUAUUUACAAUUUUUUGUAUAAAAAAAAAAACAAUGAUUGAAAGAAUAUUCUUCUCAAUUAAUUUGUUACUAAAAAUUGGCAUUAUGUGGUACGUUCAUUUACAAAAAUAUUCAUCUUGAAAUUAAUUUGUUACUAAAAAGUACAAUAUUGUAUUAAUAACCAUUUACAAAAAUAUUCUUCUCAAUCUUAAACGAAAUGGUUUUGUCUAAGAUGAUCAUUCAAACCGUAACCCUGUCCCAAAUUACAAAAAGGAGAUAUUAUGUUCAAUGACUAAAACAAACUCAUAUUUUUUAAAACAAUUGUGUAUUGUUAAUUUAGUCCACAAAAUAAAAAAUUGUGAUUUACUUUUUUGUGUAAUUAACAUUAUUAAUUACGAAAAAUGCACCAAGUUUUUUUUUUAUUUACACAUCAUUUUCUUAAAAAUCAAUCGAUUAUCAGUUUUUUU
rnacentral:lncRNA from 1 species